AUUGAACGCUGGCGGCAUGCCUUACACAUGCAAGUCGAACGGCAGCACGGGGCAACCUGGUGGCGAGUGGCGAACGGGUGAGUAAUGCAUCGGAACGUACCUUUCAGUGGGGGAUAACGUAGCGAAAGUUACGCUAAUACCGCAUAUUCUGUGAGCAGGAAAGCAGGGGAUCGCAAGACCUUGCGCUGAUUGAGCGGCCGAUGUCAGCUUAGCUAGUUGGUGAGGUAAAGGCUCACCAAGGCGACGAUCUGUAGCGGGUCUGAGAGGAUGAUCCGCCACACUGGAACUGAGACACGGGCAAGACUCCUACGGGAGGCAGCAGUGGGGAAUUUUGGACAAUGGGGGCAACCCUGAUUCAGCCAUGCCGCGUGAGUGAAGAAGGCCUUCGGGUUGUAAAGCUCUUUCGGCCGGGAAGAAAUCGCACGGGCUAAUACCCUGUGUGGAUGACGGUACCGGAAUAAGAAGCACCGGCUAACUACGUGCCAGCCGCCGCGGUAACAC
rnacentral:rRNA from 1 species